GAUGAACGCUGACAGAAUGCUUAACACAUGCAAGUCUUUGGCGAAUCUGUGCUUGCACAGGCUAGCCAAGGCGGACGGGUGAGUAACGCGUAAAGAACUUGCCCUGCAGACAGGGAUAACAGACGGAAACGACUGAUAACACCUGAUACAGUUGCCGGCACGCAUGUGCCUGGCAAUGAAAGGAGAUGCUGCAGGAGAGCUUUGCGUCCUAUUAGCUUGUUGGUGAGGUGACGGCUCACCAAGGCGAUGAUAGGUAGCCGGCCUGAGAGGGUGAACGGCCACAAGGGGACUGAGAUACGGCCCUUACUCCUACGGGAGGCAGCAGUGGGGAAUAUUGGACAAUGGGGGCAACCCUGAUCCAGCAAUUCUGUGUGCACGAAGAAGGUUUUCGGAUUGUAAAGUGCUUUCAGCAGGGAAGAAGAAAGUGACGGUACCUGCAGAAGAAGCGACGGCUAAAUACGUG
rnacentral:rRNA from 1 species